UCCAGACUCCUACGGGAGGCAGCAGUGGGGAAUUUUGGACAAUGGGCGCAAGCCUGAUCCAGCUAUUCCGCGUGUGGGAUGACGGCCCUCGGGUUGUAAACCACUUUAGUAGAGAACGAAAAGGAGCUAUCGAAUAAAUAGCUCUGCUGACGGUACUCUAAGAAAAAGCAUCGGCUAACUCCGUGCCAGCAGCCGCGGUAAUACGGAGGAUGCGAGCGUUAUCCGGAUUUAUUGGGUUUAAAGGGUGCGCAGGCGGAUUUUUAAGUCAGCGGUCAAAUCGUGGGGCUCAACCCCAUCCAGCCGUUGAAACUGGGGAUCUAGAGUGUGCGAGAGGUAUGCGGAAUGCGUGGUGUAGCGGUGAAAUGCAUAGAUAUCACGCAGAACCCCGAUUGCGAAGGCAGCAUACCGGUGCACAACUGACGCUCAGGCACGAAAGCGUGGGUAUCGAACAGGAUUAGAUACCCUGGUAA
rnacentral:rRNA from 1 species